ACCUGCCCGCCUGAGCUCUCUGAGCAAGAGGAUCCUCAGCCCAUCGAGGAGGAUCCGACAGCCUGUAAUGAGGCUGAAGAACCAAUUAUGACGCAGGAGAGCACGAACACCAGCCCCUGCCACCCUCAGCAGGAGACUUGCGAGGAGAGACCUCAGGAGUGUGGCAAUUACACCUGCCCGCCUGAGCUCUCUGAGCAAGAGGAUCCUCAGCCCAUCGAGGAGGAUCCAACAGCCUGUAAUGAGGUUUGUGCUUAAUUAUAUCUUCUGAAAGUCAUUUUGUUUCAAGAUUAAACAUACGGUCACCUUUAGUGAUAACUUGCAUUGGA